AGUUUCCACACUGUGGUCUUCCAAAAGUCCUGUUAUUAUCCCCUCCAGAUCUGACCCCUGAUUGCUCCUCAUCCUGUUCCUCCUCCCCCAUGUCUCCAAGAAGAUGAUUAAUUUUAAAGGAAAGAAAAUUAGAACAUUGUGAAUAAGAGAAAAUCAUGAGCCGGGGUUCCUUGAGCCGUGAGGAGAGGGAUUUCAUGGAGCCAUCCCAUUUUAUCUAAGAGUUCCAAGGACUCUCACUUUUGGAGCAUUGCCUGGCUGUGGGUGUUAUGUUCCCAUUUGCUGCAAGAGCUCCUGUGAUGGUAACCGAGUAAGGCACUGAUCUAGGAGCACAGUAUACUGUUAAGAGUCUAGGAGUCAUUUUAUUGCCAUCUUCCUAUAGCAAAUAGUAAUCUUGGAAUUACCCUUGGGUCUCUGAACAAUCAAGAUCAGGUUUUUGGCCACUCUAGAAGUGCUGAGUAUGGGUUCUAUUUCAUAGAGUGGGACUCAAAUCAAUAUGAACUAACCAGUAACCCCAGAGCUUCCAGCGAGCCAAGCUUGAUUAUUCCAGCUUGCUUGUGGAACCAUUGUUUCUUGCAGAAAGGUCAACAUUGUAAAGCAAUGGGUUUAUAGAUGGGUUAGUAUUUACUUUUCUCCUUUGCUAGCAGGAGCACCUCCCAGUACUUUGGACAUUAUAGAUGUGAAAGUCUCUAUACAGGUGCCAUCUCAAAUUCUCUGUGUUGAAUGAGGUAUGGAGGUGUUUUCCAGAAAUAGUGCCUUGCCCACAGCUUGUGAAGAAUAGCCAAUAUCCUUACCAACAGCCUUGUCUGUUUGAGAGUUUCCAUGGGAUCCUUUCUGAUCAACAACUCAAUUGAGGCAACCCAUUUCUGGUUUUGUAAAAUUCAGUUGGUGACAAAUCAUGUCCAGUUGGGGCACUAUCUCUUUUGCUAUUUGACAAUUUUGUGUAGAUCACCCUCAUAUAUGCAUUUAUUGUAAAACAUUUCUACUCCAUUAUGCUUCCAGAGAACCCCUGACUGUAUUCCUUUCCUUACCUCUUCUCUACCCACCUCCAUUUGAUCUACCAAUUUCAAGUCAUGCAAAAUAGUUAUCCAUAUAUAACUAUCAAUUCUAGUUCUCCUUUUUUAUUAGAUAUUUUCUUUAUUUACAUUUCAAAUGUU